rnacentral:lncRNA from 1 species
AAAUCUUAUCUAUUCGUUUAUGGCAUGUUUGGUAUGUUAGACUAGACAAUAUUAAAGAAGAAAAAAAAGAAAAUCUAAACUCCAAGCGGUAUUGUCUACUACUGCGUGCCAACGUGUCGUGAAGGAGCAAAGACAUGAAAUAAAGUUACUUUUGUAUAGGGUUGUUGGUGCCAUUGUAAUAGUUAUGGGCCUUUAUCUUGUUAUUUGGGGUAAGAAGAAAGACUAUAAAUCCCAACGGAUCGAAGAAGAAGCAAUACCUGUGAAGCAAAUGACAGAACUAGACAACAAUGGCAAUGAACACUCAAUCCAUGAGGUCGUUAACAUCAAUUUGUCUAAAGAAGGAGCUGUAGAUGGAGAUGAACAGCUAGCUACUCGCUGUUAACGUUCGAAAUGGAGUUUUUCGGUCUCCAAUACUCAAGUAGUAUGGCGAACUUUGAAUAACAAAGCUGAUAUGUAACUUGUUACAGCGAAGUUUCUAAAUUCAAGAAUUUUGUAGUUAAUGAUAUUUUAGUUGAAAAGUAGUUCAUCCCAACAAAUUGAAAUUUCAAAAUUUCAAAAUUGCAAUAGUUCAUAAGCAAAACCCUUUAUCGAAGUGGAAUGAAGUGACAAUGUGGAAUAAUAACUUCUAACUAAGCUUUAUUCUUAUAUUUGAAGUCGGCUAUCUACAUUCUUUUAGGCAAAAUAAUGAUCGAUUUAUUUUUAGAUUUACAUAAACAUGUAAAGCAACUAGAUCAUUAACAACUACAUCAAACUAUGUUAGUUUUUUAUUACAUGUAAUAAUAUUUUUAAGAUUUUAGUUUGUUUGAUGGUGUAAAAAAGUAAAAAACAAUGGUUACUUUGUCCAGUCUCUACUAAUGAACCCCGAGAAUGGUAUACUACAUAAUACUGGCAUCUUAAUUUAAUUGUUGGGUAAAAUCUAAAUCAAUAAAAACGGAUUACAACAUAUACAAUUUGAAUUUCAAAUCUCACCUCCAUGCAUAUUUCUUUCCAACGACUUAAAUUGUUAGAUGAGAUAGUUUCACACGGCUUUAGAGUAGAUAAAGAUUUCAAUUUCAAAUCUCAUCAUCACUCGUGUAUGAAUAUUAUGCACAUUUCUCUCCGACGACUUAAACUUUUAGAUGGGAUAAUCUAUGGUAUUAGAAUAGAUAAAAAUUUUGGGCUUAGCCCCUAUUUGACAACUAUUAUUUGGGAUAAUCAAUAUUUUGAAUAGUGAUUUUUAGGAGAAUAUACAGUUAAAAAGUAAGAAAAAGUUUUGGGUUUACGUAUUUAAUAUUUUACUGUGUGAAUGUUUGGUUAAAAAUGAGUAUGUAGAAAAAAGAGUUUUCAAAUGAUGAUUGUCAAAUAAGGGCAAAUCUCACCAUCAUCAAGUACGGAGAUUAUGCACGUAUCAAAUCUUCUCUAAUACUUCAAACCUUUAUGUGAAAUUAAGAACAAUAAUAAAAUUAAUAUAUUCGUCCUUGGUGGCGUGCACCUAGUAGUCCAAUCAAUUCAAGGGGUUAACUCAAUUAUUUUCAACUUUCUUAUUUUCUUUCUUAUAUAAUGAAGAAGUUUCCAAUAGAACUGGGAUGUUUAAUGCAAUGCCAAAGCAGAAUGCACAAAAAAUAACGAAGUGGGCAAAUCGUCAAAAGUAUUGAUUCAAAAGCAUAAUGCCUUCAAUAAGAUAAAUGGAUCAAUUUCCAGUUUUAAUUAUGUUCAUAAUAUAGCCUGGUUGAAACUGAUUUGGGCAGAUUUCAUCCACAAUUUCUUCAUUCUAGUAACCAUCAAAAUAAAUUGGAAAUCGGAUGCAUAAAUACAUUUUUGCCAUUCUAUGCUAUUUAUUACCACGUCAUUUUUGGUUUAGCUAAAAAUUAGAUUUUUAAUAGAUUUUAACAAAAAUUGAUUUAAAGAACAAGGAAAAGAAAAGUGCUGCAGGCAAAAAUUGGCAAAAUUAUAGAUUGAACGGUUAUAGUAGACUCGUGAUUUGAGCGGACAGUCUGCAUAUAGAGUGUUCCACUGAAGUUUCUUUCAUAUUUAAUCGAUGUUAUCUUAAUUUGUUAACGUACGUUUUCAUUUCUUAUCUUGUUCAUUUAAAUAUGACUUCACUUUCAUCUUUUUUUAAUCUCUAGACAUCGUGUCCUUUACCAAACUAAAGUAGAAGUUACUCCCAUCACAUAUUUUUCCAUUCAAACGUGAAGGAAUCAUUAGAGUCAGAAAAGAGAGAAGGUUAAAAGGGUAGACGUAACUCUUACAUUGAAAGCAAACCGUUGUAAAAUGGGUUUUUUUACUUAACUUGUUUUCAUAGCAUUCCUAUAAAAAAGAGCAAUCGCAAGGCUUUUUACUCAGAAUCUAUUCCUAUCAAGUGGAGCAGAACCAAAUGAAGAAAACUGAACAAGAAAACCAUGCAGAAUAAUGUAGAAAAACUAUUAUAAAUUGAGAGCUUAGCCGACUUACUGGGAUAUCUUGCCCAUUAAUUCAUUGAGGGUUGAUUAUUCGUCUUUAGCUUAUCAAUCUCCCUCUUCCCAAGAUUGAGUUGUGCGGAUCGAAACUGUGAUAAAUGAAGAAACAUAUAUCAACAGAGACAAUAUGCGGUAAACUUCACAAGGCUAAACCCUUCUUUGCUGUAGUUUUUCUGCAAUUUGGUCUUGCAGGAAUGGAUAUCCUUUCUAAAGCUGCAUUAAAUGAAGGGAUGAGUAACUACGUAUUGUCGUCUAUCGACAUGCCAUAGCCACAAUUGUCAUUGCCCCUUUUGCACUCAUUCUGGACAAGUCAAUCUCUCUCUCUCUCUCUCUAUAUAUAUAUAUUCUAGUUCAUGUGAAGUAAGCAGGCUAAAAUUUUCUUUCCACAGGAAAAUAAGGCCUAAGAUGACUUUUUCAAUAUUUGGCAAGAUAAUGCUUCUUGGCUUAUUGGAGUAGGUCUCUUAAUAGCUAAUUACUGCAUUUUACCUUUUGUGUUCCGCAAUAUCUGGUAAUAAGAUUUGAGGAUUUUACCAUAACAGGCCAGUUGUAGACCAAAACCUAUACUUCCUAGGGAUGAAAUACACAACUGCAACGUUUGCUGCUGCUAUGUGCAACGUACUUCCUGCCAUUACACUCGUCAUGGCCUGCUUCUUCAGGUGGAUAUCGUGAUGCUUCUGACAUGUUUGGUAUAUAGUACUGAACUGCAUUGUAUAAUACAAUUGAUACAAAAUUUAAUGGGUUUUUCUUCCUUAUUUUUGUCCAGUCUAGUAUAACGAGCAUGCGCAUGCAUAGUAAUAUUAUAUGAUAACUACACAACGUGCAUCUCUGCUUACACAAUAUUAAUAAAAAAUAUUGUUAUAUACCUUUGACAUAGGCUCGAGAAAUUUAAGGUAAAGAGCAUCCACAGCCAAGCCAAGUUAGCUGGAACUGUGGCAACUGUGGCAGGAGCCAUGCUCAUGACUCUAUUAAAAGGUCCAAUCAUAGAGCUGCCAUGGACAAAAGGAAGCAGCGGCAGCCAUGAACAACGAAGAGUUGAAAUAAAUCUUCAUCGUUCAAUCAAGGGUUCCCUAAUGAUCACAGUCGGAUGUUUCAGCUGGGCUUGCUUCAUGAAUUUGCAGGUGACAAGUGUUACACAGUACUAGAAGAUUCUAAUCUCGUCCAGCAACAUCUAGUCCAACCUAUCAAACAAGCCAUUUACGAUCGUGCUAACUCUUGCUCGUGUAUUUAUAGGCAAUCACACUAAGAACAUAUCCUGCUGAACUUUCUCUCACAGCUUGGAUAUGCCUGUUGGGGACAGCCCAGGGUGGAAUAGUGGCAUUAGUAAUGGAGAGGGGGAAAGCUGCAGUCUGGUCUAUAAACUGGGACUCCAAAUUUCUUGCAGCUGUCUACAGUGUAAGAAGAACAUAUUGAAACAAUUUAUUUCAUAUUAUGUUCAACAUUGAUGACGAGACUUUGACCUCGACCAAUCCUGAUUGUUAAAUGUUUAAACAAAUGGCAACCCCAGUAAACUGUAAUGACAUGUUUGAUAUAUUGGACCAAACAAAACUUGAGAGAACGACUCAGGAAAUUUUACCGUGCAUCUCUUUUAAUAUUGUCUAAUCAUGUUCAGUCCAACGUACCAAAUAUGCUAGUUCGGUGCAAGAAGAUAACCCUUGAUUAAACCAUUAGCACUCAAAUUAUUCCAAGUUCAUUCAAAAUACUUCCAAAUUUUGACCCAAAAAAGCUCAUAACCAAAUAUUGCAGGGCAUAUUUUGUUCAGGAAUUGCUUACUACAUCCAAGGAGUGGUAAUGAAAGAGAGAGGCCCUGUUUUUGUAACUGCCUUCAGCCCCUUGAGCAUGAUUAUUGUUGCUGUGCUGAGCUCUUUUAUUUUGGCCGAGCAAAUGUUCUUAGGAAGGUGAGUAUAAGCCUCUCCUACAAAUCUUAUCUAUUCGUUUAUGGCAUGUUUGGUAUGUUAGACUAGACAAUAUUAAAGAAGAAAAAAAAGAAAAUCUAAACUCCAAGCGGUAUUGUCUACUACUGCGUGCCAACGUGUCGUGAAGGAGCAAAGACAUGAAAUAAAGUUACUUUUGUAUAGGGUUGUUGGUGCCAUUGUAAUAGUUAUGGGCCUUUAUCUUGUUAUUUGGGGUAAGAAGAAAGACUAUAAAUCCCAACGGAUCGAAGAAGAAGCAAUACCUGUGAAGCAAAUGACAGAAAUAGACAACAAUGGCAAUGAACACUCAAUCCAUGAGGUCGUUAACAUCAAUUUGUCUAAAGAAGGAGCUGUAGAUGG